GCACCAGUGGUUUAGUGGUAAAAUCCAUCGUUGCCAUCGAUGGGCCCCGUGUUCGAUUCACGGCUGGUGCA
rnacentral:tRNA from 6 species